rnacentral:rRNA from 1 species
GGGGAAUAUUGCACAAUGGGCGAAAGCCUGAUGCAGCGACGCCGCGUGAGGGAUGACGGCCUUCGGGUUGUAAACCUCUUUCAGCAGGGAAGAAGCGAAAGUGACGUUACCGACAGAAUAAGCACCGGCUAACUUCGUGCCAGCAGCCGCGGUAAUACGAAGGGUGCAAGCGUUACUCGGAAUUACUGGGCGUAAAGCGUGCGUAGGUGGUGGUUUAAGUCCGUUGUGAAAGCCCUGGGCUCAACCUGGGAACUGCAGUGGAUACUGGAUCACUAGAGUGUGGCAGAGGGUAGUGGAAUUCCCGGUGUAGCAGUGAAAUGCGUAGAGAUCGGGAGGAACAUCAGUGGCGAAGGCGACUGCCUGGGCCAACACUGACACUGAGGCACGAAAGCGUGGGGAGCAAACA